CACUCUCAUCAAUUUUUCAUAACGCGCCUUAAGAAAUAUAACUUCAAUAAAAAGUUCCAUACCCAGUAAGAUUACCUCGGUGACUGAGCCAGAAACGGUAUCUGGAGUACCUGACGAAAAGCAAAUGUGGGAUCCAUUUACAAGAGUAGAAUACAAAAAAGACCGCAUUCCAUCCCAAUCCUCUGACUUGUAUUGCCACAAACCGCGACAGCCCGCAAAGCGAGGAUGGUGAAGGCGCGUAAAAAAUGAUAUUAGCCGCCGUGAAAUGUAGACAAAUUUUAGAGACUAUUAUUUUCUAUGAUACAAACUGAAUGUCCUAACUCCUAUCCGUCGAUGUAGGAAAGUCGAGCCUUCAACACUCUAUUACCUGUUUAUUUCAAGGAUUACUUAUCUGUAUUCUGUAAUUAUUCGGUUCACUAUUGCUCUGCUAUUGAAAUCUGUGAGACUAGGCGGUAUGGUCGAAAGACUAUAGUUUGCGCCAUAGUCCUUUGCCUUUCCCAUUAGGCAUAAAUUAAUAUCAUCAUCAUGAAGUCUGUGAGACUAGGCGCCGGCGGUAUGGUCGAAAAACUAUAGCCUAAGCCUGCGCCAUGGGCGAAAAAAAAAUUGAAAUCUGUGAUAGUUUACGUUUUAAAAGUAAAUAAAUAGUGUUAUAUUAAAUGUGUCACAGGGAGAUGAAUGUAAAAAAAUAUUGAUACCUGGACAUGCUGUAUUAAACAUAACUGUUUUAGAUGAUAUUGAUUGUAUGAAACCAAAAAAUAAUGAAGUCAUAUUAACUUCGGAGGAUGUCUUAGAAAAGAAACAGAAAAUGAUAUCA